GAUCAAAGUGUAGUAUCUGUUCUUAUCAGCUUAAUAUCUGAUACGACCUGCAUUGCAGGUCCAGAAUAUUAAACUGAUUUUUGGAAUUUGUCGGGAUGUUAGGAGCUUGCUCCACUCCUGACACGGGUUGGC
rnacentral:snRNA from 1 species